AUAUCAAUAAGCGGAGGAAAAGAAACUAACAAGGAUUCCCCUAGUAACGGCGAGUGAAGCGGGAAAAGCUCAAAUUUAUAAUCUGGCACUUUCAGUGUCCGAGUUGUAAUCUCGAGAAGUGUCUUCUAUGCCAGGCCGCAUUCAAGUCUGUUGGAAUACAGCGUCACAGUGGUGAGAACCCCGUAAACAAUGUGGAUGGCUGGCAUUAUACGAUACACUUUCAAAGAGUCGAGUUGUUUGGGAAUGCAGCUCAAAGUGGGUGGUAAAUUCCAUCUAAAGCUAAAUAUUGGCGAGAGACCGAUAGCGAACAAGUACCGUGAGGGAAAGAUGAAAAGCACUUUGGAAAGAGAGUUAACAGUAC
rnacentral:rRNA from 1 species